rnacentral:lncRNA from 1 species
UUAGGGAAUUUUUAUUUCUAGUUUAAUUUCCCUUUCGGACAAUACAGGAUGCAAACUAUUUAGAUAUAAAUCUCUGAUUGUUAAAGUGUUUUUCCGAUAGGGAAACAAUUCAUAUAUCAUAGUUUAACCUUAAGCUUUCAAUUCGAAUUUAUAAUUCAUAAGAGAAAUUUCACUCGCCUUAUAAAAAUAAGGAGAUGUGUAUAAAAAUAGGAAGAUACAAUAUGAUUGUCAUAGAGGCUACUCUCUUCAAGAGACCAAUUGGUACAGAAACUAACAACUUUAGGUUAUUGUACGGCCCUUGUCGUUUUCAGUAUUCGUGACGUUAGAUUGUUAUCUAGUGUUCCGAAAUAGUUAUAAUUUGGUUUUUAUUCUAAUGAAACACAUAUUAGAAUUGUUCUCUGGUGUUCCGUGUUCUAAUGCAGUUAGUUCUCUCUGAUUACUCAGCUCGUAUAUGUAGUUGAAUUGUUAUGUACUGUAACAGUUCCAAUUUCUAUAGAUACUUUAGUAUUUUAAUGAGACAUGUUUCGUAAU